UGUAAGCGUAUACCAAAGUUGUUGCAGUUAAAACGCUCGUAGUCGGACUUUGGCAGUUCCGGAUGUGUGCACGUCGUGUGCGCACUUCGCGGGGAUUGCUUUUGUGGUCUUGCGUAGGAUGAGGCACUUUUAUUAGUGAACGUCCUCACGCAACCACUUUUUACUGUGAGAAAAUCAGAGUGCUCAAAGCAGGCAUUUGCCGUGAAUGUAUUAGCAUGGAAUAAUAGAAUAGGACUUGGUUCUAUUUUGCUGGUUUGUUGGGACUGAGUAAUGAUUAAGAGGGACAGUUGGGGGCAUUUGUAUUUCGGUGCUAGAGGUGAAAUUCUUAGAUUACCGAAAGACAAACUGCUGCGAAAGCGUCUGCCAAGGAUGUUUUCAUUGA
rnacentral:rRNA from 1 species